CCCGCCUUAGCUCAGUUGGAAGAGCGUGGGACUGUAAUGGUUACAUAAUCGUGUCACGUGAUUUGGCAUCCCGAGGCCGCCUGUUCGAGCUCAAGAUCGCCCGGG